CACAAGCAGCGGAGCGUGUGGUUAAUUCGAUGCUACACGAAGAACCUUACCAGGGUUUGACAUGCAAGUGGUAGGAAUCUGAAAAGUGACGACCCUUCGGGGAGCUUGCACAGGUGCUGCAUGGCUGUCGUCAGCUCGUGUCGUGAGAUGUUCGGUUAAGUCCGCUAACGAGCGCAACCCUCACUGUGUGUUAUACGUGUCACACGGGACUGCCGGUUUUUAAAGCCGGAGGAAGGCGGGGAUGACGUCAAGUCAGCAUGGCCUUUAUAUCCUGGGCUACACACACGCUACAAUGGUCUGUACAAUAGGUUGCCAAGCCGCGAGGCGGAGCCAAUCCUUAAAGCAGGCCUCAGUUCAGAUUGUAGGCUGCAACUCGCCUGCAUGAAGAUGGAGUUGCUAGUAACCGCAGGUCAGCAAUACUGCGGUGAAUACGUUCCCGGGUCUU
rnacentral:rRNA from 1 species